rnacentral:lncRNA from 1 species
AUGAUCAUCCCAUAUCAUCACCUUGUUUAAGGGAUAUUGAGGUUCCGGGCCACCUCCAACCAACGCCAGAAUAUUGCACCGAAAAAGCAUCUGAACAACACAAAUUCCACCUCCGCCAUUAGCAUUACCGGCAAAAUCGCGGCGGAAAAUCUCGCGAAGCGGGUCGCAGUUGUAGAUCCGGAACCCGCGAUCGGUGCCUGCCGCAAAGCAACCGUGAUCCUGGUUGAAGGAGAGGUAGAGGAUAUUCGGUGUAAACCCGCGAUCGGUGCCCGCAGCAAAGCAACCGUGAUCCUGGUUGAAGGAGAGGUAGAGGAUAUUCGGUGUAGAAGAAUCAAUGGGAAGAGAAAUUGAAGAAGGAUUAGGGUUAAUAUUCUGUAAGGUAGUAGCAGUAGUAGCGGCGGCAGCAGGGGAGGUAACGGAGGUUUCAGAGCGGUGCUCAUCAUCAACAGCUGUGGCGGCAGUGAUGGCAGAGGAGAUAUCGGAGAGGUCAGAGAGAGAGGAACGAUCACCGGAUUCUAGAGCUUGAGGUGAAUUUUCCGACAUGUGAGGGGAAACGAAAGGGUUGGAAUCGGGCCAAGGGGAGGAGGAAGGGAGGGUAGAGGUCAUGGGGAAAGGGCGGAGAAUGGUUGUAGAUGGCGGAGGAAUUGCGUGCUCCGGUGGAGAGAGAGAGAGAGAGGAUGAGAAUGAUUGCAAGUGUAAGGUAGGAGAGAAGUUUCAGAAGGUUCCUUCUGCUUUAACUUGGAGUCAGAGGCAUUCUAGUGCUGCUCUUUUGUUUUGUUU